rnacentral:lncRNA from 1 species
CUCAUGGGGACCUAGUCACCUUGAUGGGGAUCAUUGGAGGUGUGGUAGCAGUAGAUGAGGUAGUACUAGAAGUGUCCUUGGGAACCCACUCGACCUUGGUUUGGGGAUCUUCCUCAAAUGAGUCAAUCUCCUAUUGAAGCUUUCCCUUUCCCUUGUGGUCUUGUGGUAGAAGACCAUCUUGAGAGCUUCUUCCCUUGGGAGGAGUAUGAUCAUACUUCUCCUCUUGAGGAACAAACUUGGUAAUGGGAUAUGGACCUUCUUCCCAAACAACUCCGUUGACAUUGAAGUAUCCAACACCUUGCUUCUUCCGAUGUCCUCCUUGCUUGCGCACAAUUUCCUCGAAUUGCUUAGUUUUGGCAAGGCUCUUGAAGACACCUCUCUGUAUAAUCCCUUUCAAUAAAUCAUUUUCUUUCUCAAGUGUAACUUGGCUAAUAGAAUCAUUAGUGGAAUCAAGAGAGCUACUACCAACAACAUCAUUUGAUCUAGCUUUAGCAUUGUUUCUACUAGAUGAAGAAACUUUCUUGCCUUUGUUACUAGUGUUCUUAGGUUUAACUUGUGGAACAAAAGUUGACAAGAGUAAUUGUUUGGCUAGAUAAGAAGAAAUCUUCUUUUGAAGAUCAUCAUUGAUUGCUUUUAGAAACUCGUGCUCUUGCUCUAAAUUUAUCUUCUUGAAGUGUAGCUUCUCAUGAGUUCUUGCAAGCUCUCUAUGAUCUUCUAGAAUAGUUUCAUGAGUUAACUUAAGAGUGUUUAAUUCUUUAGUUAGUCAUUCAAUCUCUUUCUUAUCAUCAUCAUUCGAUUUAUCUUGACUAACAUGAAUAUUUUCAAGUUCACUUUCAAUGUUAUUACUAGUAUUAUCAAAGGGCAAGUCAUCAUCUCCUAACAAGUCAUCCUCAUCACUAUCAAAUUUUAAGUACUCGGGGUGUGGUACCUUGGGGCCUUUUGCCAUGAAGCAGUUUCCGAUCCCUUCAUUUGGUGAAUCAAAUAAGUCGUAGGAGUUGGAAGAAACAAGUGCAAUACUCGCAACACCAUCAUCUAGUCUUAUCAAAGAGCAAGUCAUCAUCUCCUAACAAGUCAUCCUCAUCACUAUCAAAGUCAAAGUACUCGGGGUGUGAUACCUUGGGGACUUUUGCCAUGAAGCAGAUUCCAAUCCCUUCAUUUGGUGAAUCAAAUAAGUCGUGGGAGUUGGAAGAAAUGAGUGCAAUAUUGGCAACACCAUCAUCUUGACUGUAGUCAGAGUUGGAGUGAUAGUUUAUCUUGGAUUGGUUGUCACACUCGGAGCCGGAAACCCAUUCACCAAUGUUAGUUGAUGUCUUCUUCUUGAACUGCUCUUGGUGUACUUGUCCUUCUUCUCCGAUUCUUUUCCUCUCCGGGAGUGUCUUCGUUCAUAAUGAUCUUCUCUACUCCUUCUCUCUCUACGAGGUGACUCAUCUCUUGAGCUUCGUCUUCUAGGUGACUCUUCUCUUCGUUUGUGGGGAGCCGAGCACUCAUUUGAAAAGUUUUCGGGCUUUCCACAGUUGUAGCAGUUUCGUUCAUGACUAGACGAACACUUGUCAUCAUAUCUCGAGCUUGAGCUUCUUUCUUUGCAUCUACUCUUGUAGAACUUGUUGAAUUUUCUGACCAUGAGGCUGUUCUCUUCAUUAGUAACAAGGUUGUCAACUGAAGUAGUGGGAGCAUCGCUUGAAGCUUUGUAAGCACUGCUUGACUUGUUGCGCAACUCAUGUUUGUCGUUGAGAGACAUUUCAUGAGCAACAAUCCUUCCAAUGACUUCAGUUGGCUUGAGAUCCUUGUAAUUUGGCAUCAUUUGGAUUGAUGUGCACACGGUUCCGUAUCUUCCAUCCAAGGCUUUAAGUAUCUUCUUGAUGAUGAAUUUUUCAGUCAUCUCGUCACUUCCUAAGCCGGCAAUCUCAUUUGUGAUGAGAGCUAGCCUAGAAUACAUCUCAACGACUCAUUCAACAUCCUUCAUCUUGAACUUGUCAAGCUGACUUUGAAGCACAUCCAACUUAGAUUCCGUGACAGAAUCAGUUCCUUCGUGCAUAUCAAUCAAGGUAUCCCAAAUUUCCUUUGCAAUCUCAAGGCGACUAAUUUUGUUGAAUUCUUCGGGACACAAGCAAUUGAACAGAAUAUCACAGGCUUGAGCAUUGUAUUGCAACAUCUUCAGCUCAUCCGCUGUCGCAUCACGAACCGGUUCUUUUCCUUCUCCGAAGAAAUCACCUUGCACACCAACACGAACAACAUCCCUAACUACAGGAUUAUGACCAAGAAUAUGCACUUUCAUCUUAUGCUUCCAACUAGGAAAUUAGUGCCAUCGAAAUAUGGACCAUUACAAUGAUAAUUUCCCUCACUAGACGCCAUACCCUCCUAGGUUGUGAAACCAAUGCAAUGGAAACCAAAGCUCUGAUACCACUUGUAUGAUUGAAAGUAUGUCUAGAGGGGGGGUGAUUAGACUACUUGACAGGAUAAAAGCUUAGCAUUUUCCCAAUUUUAAGUGUGGGCCAGUUUUAGCAAUGAUGACUAGUCAAGUACACCCUGUACAUGCACAUCUAAGAGUAUAGGAGUAGAAAGUGAAACAUGGAAGUGUAAAGUAGAGGGCAAGGUAGGGAUAUCAAACGCAAAGGUAGACACGGCGAUUUUUGGCAUGGUUCCGAUAGGUGGCACUAUCGUAUGUCCAUAUUAGUGGAUACUUCAACCCACAGAGGGUAAUGGUUGCGAGAGUCCAUGGAGCGCUCCACCCACAAGGGGUCCACAAAGAAGCGGCCUUGUCUAUUCCACCACGGCUUCCGUCCACACAGGACUAGCCUCACUCACGGUAGACCUUCAUGAAGUAGGUGAUCUCCUUGCCCUUACAAACAUCUUUGUUCAACUCCACAACACGAAGUAGGAGGCUCCCAAGCGACACCUAACCAAUGUAGGAGGCACCACCUUCAAAAAGGUAAUAGAUGUGGUAGAAUGAUGAACUCCUUGCUCUUGUGCUUCUAAAGAUAGUCUCCUCAACACUCAAUCACUCUCUCUCAGAUUUGGUAGGGGGUAGGAGAUAUUGAUCUUGUGGAGAGCAACUUGGGGAGGCUAGAAAUCAAGGUUCAAAUGGUUGGAAUGGUAUCUCUUUAUUCAACACAUGGGUAGGUGGCUCUCUCUCGGAAAAAUGGAUCUGGCAAGUGUGUGUGUGUUCUGAGUGCUUCUUCUAUGAAUGAGAUGUAUGUGGAUGGGUAUAUAUAGGCAUCUCCCAAAAUCCAACCGUUACAACAUUAUUGCCCAACUCGGUGACACCGAAAAGAAUCUCGGUGGUACCGUGUUGCACUAAAUGUGGCAACUUUUGAAUUCUCAGUGAGACCGAUAUAGGAAUCUUGAUGGUACCAAUACGAUGACCUAGGCAAGUUUCCAGAUCUCAGUGAGACCAAUUUCAAACUCAAAAAAUCUGAUUCUUGAAAUCUUCUCAAUAGAAAUUGGUCACUGAAUCUCGAUGGCGCCGGUAGGAAUGUUGGUGGUACCGAGAUGGUAGGAUUUGGCAUAGGUUCUGUCAAGUGUAAAAUUGGUAGGGUCGAAUGGAAAUUGUUGAUGGCACCGAUUUUGCUGAUAUAGGUUUGGGCAUAGAUAUUUUGUGGGAGAAUGGCUGAGUAUUUUUGGUGGCUACCUCUAAGCACUUCAGCAACCAAUUCAUCAUAAUACCUCAUCCCCUUUUAAUAGUAUUGGCUUUCCUAUGGACUCAAAAUGAUUUCUCACAAAGUAUAAAAUGAAGAGUCUUCUUGCUUGAAACUUGAGCCAAUCCUAUUCCUUCCUUUAUCAAGGGGCAUCUUCUCACGAUCCUAUAGCCAAACCAUCUUUGAACUUUUCUGAAAUAUACUUGGAUAAACUCAUUAGUCUAAUGAUGCAUAUGUUGUGAUUAAUUACCAAAAACACCUUAGGGAGCAAUUGUGCUUUUAGUGCCCGCAUUGCUGGUACACUCUAUCUUGACACGAUCCAAGAAUAAACUUUCCACACAAGCAGUACGAGGACCAUGUUAAGGUAAUUAUUAUUUCAUUUCAUCUUGCACGUUGGUAGACCAUAUAUAUGCUAGUAUGUCACUAUGUUAUUGUUGUUGUUCCUAAUUUUCAAAAGCACCCUAAGGACACGGAGUUGCUGCUCAAGAAUAUCUUCAACUUUGGAUGGAUGAAGAUUCUUUAGUGCCUAUACAAGAGGUAUCGUGACAGAGUGCUACAUCGGCGAGGCGUGGCGCUAGCUCCAAGAAAGUGAUUGAAGACGAUGAUGAUGACUUUAUACCUAGCAAACGAGCUCUAAACAGAGGAAAUCCCCUAUUGCAUCUGAGAGGGGUGGAAGUAGGUGUAAGAAAGUGAAGAGCGACGAUGAUAACUUUAUGCCAAGCAAGAAAGCUCAAAACAGAUCCAAGGGUUGUGCCAGUUCGAAGAGCGGUAAAUCAAGAAAGAGUGUAGCCUCAUCGAAGUGGGCCGAUGUUGAUUACAAUUCCGCAAAGGAGUUUAUGCCCCAUGCUGGUGAGAAUAGUGAUGAUGACUUCAUGUAGUUGUUGCAUGAGUUGUAGAAUUAGUUUGUGAUGUCUUAUUGUAGGAGCAUUAUUUUGUAUUUUAAUUUCCUGUUGUAGUUGUUGCAUGACUUGUAGAAUUAGUUUGUACUGUCUUAUUGUACAAGCAUUAUGUUGUAUCUUCAUUUCUUGUUGUUGUUGUUGCACGACGUUACAAAAUUAGUUUGUAGUAUAAGAAUUAUCCCCGCUGAAAUAAGCAAGCACUAAAAUACCACCACAGGAAAAAUUAACCAUACUAAUAGAGAAUUAUCCUCGUGUCAUUUGUCCCAUACAUAGAAUAGGCAUAUGUCUCAUACAUAGAAUUUUCAUAUGUCCCAUGCAUAAGUGGAUAGUAGUGUCUCUACUAAUAGAGAGAAGCGUCUGUUGGGGAACGUUGCAUGGGAAACAAAAACUUUCUUACGCACACGAAGACCUAUCAUGCUGAUGUCCAUCUAUGAGAGGAGAUUCGAUCUAUGUGCCCUUGUAGAUCGCUAAGCGCGAAGCGCUAAGAAACGCGGUUGAUGUAGAGAUACAGCUUCGUGAUUCAAAUCACCAUCGUCCCACGAUCCGUUCCGAUCUAGCGCCGAACGGACGACACCUCCGCGUUCAGCACACGUACAACUCGAUAACCAUCUCGACCUUCUUGAUCCAGCAAGAGAGACGGAGAAGUAGAUGAGCUCUCCGGCAGCGUGAUGGCGCUCCGGUGGUGGUGAUGAUCUAUUCCUGCUGGGCUCCGCCCGAGCUUCGCAGAAAUCCGAUCUAGAGGUAAAACUAGGUGGUAUAAGUUUGAGUUGCACGUGGCAAACUUGUGUCUCAAAAGCCCUAAAACCACCAGUGUAUAUAGGAGGAGGGGAGGGGCUAGCCUUGGGGCUCAAGGAGCCCCUUGGUCCACCGGCCGAAGGGAGGAGGUGGACUCCCACCCCAAUUCGGUUUGGGGGAAGGAGUCCACUCCUUCCUUCCCACCUCCCUCUUUAAUUUUUUUUUUCCUUUGGUGUUUUUCCACUUGUGGUGCCAUGUCCCAAUUGGGCUGGCCUCACCAUCCCACUAAGGGCUGGUGCGCCACCCUAGGGUCAUUGGGCUCACUCCCGGGUGGGUGGGCCCCUCCCGAUGAAUACCCGGAACCCAUUCGUCACUCCCAGUACAUUAUCGGUAAUGCCCAAAACUUUUCGGUGACCAAAUGAAACCAUCCUAUAUAUCAAUCUUCGUUUCCGGAUCAUUCCGGAAAACCUCGUGACGUCUGUGAUCUCAUCUGGGACUCCGAACAACAUUCGUUAACCACACAUAUAACUCAACUAUACUAAAACAUCAUCGAACCUUAAGUGUGCACACCGUGCGGGUUCGAGAACUAUGUAGACAUGACUGGAGACACUUCUCGGUCAAUAUCCAAUAGCGGAACCUGGAUGCCCAUAUUGGAUCCUACAUAUUCUCUGUAGAUCUUAUCGCUUGAACCUCAGUGCCAAGGAUUCAUAUAAUCCCGUAUGUCAUUCCCUUUGUCCUUCGGUUUGUUACUUGCCCGAGAUUCGAUCGUCGGUAUCCGUAUACCUAUUUCAAUCUCGUUACCGGCAAGUCUCUUUACUCGUUCCCUAAUACAAGAUACCGUGACUUACACUUAGUCACAUUGCUUGCAAGGCUUAUUUGAUAUGUUGUAUUACCAAGUGGGCCCUGAGAUACCUCUCCGUCACACGGAGUGACAAAUCCCAGUCUUGAUCCAUACUAACUCUACGGACACCUUCGGAGAUACCUGUAGAGUACCUUUAUAGUCACCCAGUUACAUUGCGACAUUUGAUACACAGAAGGUAUUCCUUUGGUGUCAGUGAGUUAUAUGAUCUCAUGGACAUAGGAAUAAAUACUUGACACGCACAAAACAAUAGCAACAAAAUAACACGAUCACAUGCUACGUUUAUAGUUUGGGUCUAGUCCAUCACAUGAUUCUCCUAAUGACGUGAUCCAGUUAUCAAGUGACAACACUUGCGUAUGGUCAGAAAACCUUGACCAUACUUGAUCAACUGGCUAGCCAACUAGAGGCUUUCUAGGGACAUUGUUUUGUCUAUGUAACCACACAUGUAUCUAUGUUUUCAUUCAAUACAAUUAUAGCACGGAUAACAAACGAUUAUCUGCAAACAAGAAAUAUAAUAAUAACUAUUUUAUCAUUGCCUCUAGGGCAUAUUUCCAACAGUCUCCCACUUGCACUAGAGUCAAUAAUCUAGUCCUCACAUCGCCAUGCGAUUUACAUUGUAAUAAAUCUAACAACCAUACAGUUCUAGUGUUGAUCAUGUUUUACCCGUGGAAGAGGUUUAGUCAGCGGAUCUACUACAUUCAGAUCCGUGUGCACUUUGCAAAUAUUUAUGUCCUCUCCUUCGACAUAGCCGCGGAUGAGGUUGAAGUGUCGUUUGAUGUGCCUGGUCUUCUUGUGAAACCUUGGUUCCUUUGCUAAAGCAAUGGCACCAGUGUUGUCACAUAACAGAGUUAUUGGAUUUAGUGCGCUCGGCACAACUCCAAGAUCCGUCAUGAACUGCUUCAUCCAGACACCCUCCAUAGCUGCCUCCGAGGCAGCCAUGUACUCUGCUUCACAUGUAGAAUCUACUACGACGCUUUGCUGGGAACUGCACCAGCUUACCGGACCCCCAUUAAGAAUAAAUACGUAUCCGGUUUGAGACUUAGAAUCAUCCGGAUCAGUGUCAAAGUUUGCGUCGAUGUAACCCUUUACGACGAGCUCUUCAUCAGCUCCAUAAACGAGAAACAUUUCCUUAGUCCUUUUCAGGUACUUCAGAAUAUUCUUGACCGCCGUCUAGUGAUCCACUCCUGGAUUACUUUGAAACCUGUCUGCCAUACUUAUGGCCAAGCUGACGUCUGGUCUAGUGCACAACAUUGCAUACAUGACAGAACCUAUGGUUAAAGCAUAGGGGACGGAACUCAUUUGUUCUCUAUCUUCCACAGUUGCUCGGCACUGAGUCUUACUCAAUUUUAUACCUUGUAAUACUGGCAAGAACCCUUUCUUGGACUGAUCCAUUUUGAACUUCUUCAAAACUUUAUCAAGGUAUGUGCUUUGUGAAAGUCCUAUCAGGCGUUUCGAUCUAUCCCUAUAGAUCUUAAUGCCUAGAAUGUAAGCAGCUUAUCCUAGGUCCUUCAUAGAGAAACUUUUAUUCAAGUAAUCCUUUAUGCUCUCCAAAAGCUCCACGUUGUUUCCAAUCAGCAAUAUGUCAUCCACAUAUAAUAUUAGAAACGCCACAGAUCUCCCACUCACUUUCUUGUAAAUACAAGAUUCUCCAACCAAUUGUAUAAACACAAAUGCUUUGAUCACCUCAUCAAAGCGCUUAUUCCAGCUCCGAGAUGCUUGCACCAGUCCAUAAAUGGAUCGCUGGAGUUGCAUACUUUGUUAGAAUUCUUUGGAUCGACAAAACCUUCGGGUUGCAUCAUAUAGAACUCUUCCUUAAGAAAACCGUUAAGGAACGCCGUUUUGACAUCCAUCUGCCAAAUUUCAUAAUCGUAAAAGGCAACUAUUGCUAACAUGAUUCGGACAGAUUUAAGCAUCGCUACCGGUGAGAAAGUCUCAUCAUAGUCAACUCCUUGAACUUGUGAAAAACACUUUGCCACAAGUUGAGCUUUAUAAACGGUUACAUUACCGUCUGCGUCCGUCUUCUUCUUAUAGAUCCAUUUGUUCUGAAUAGCCUUGCGGUCUUCAGGUAGUACUUCCAAAGUCCACACUUUGUUCUCGUACAUGGAUCCUAUCUCGGACUUCAUGGCCUCCAGCCAUUUGUUGGAAUCCGGGCCCACCAUUGCUUCUUCAUAAUUCGCAGGUUCAUUGUUGUCUAACAACAUGAGUGAUAAGACAGGAUUACUGUACCACUCAGGUGUAGUACGUGAUCUUGUCGACCUCCGAGGUCCGAUAGGAACUUGAUCCGAAGUUUCAUGAUCAUCAUCAUUAACUUCCUCCUCAACCUGCGUCGCUUCGACAGAGGUUUCCCCCUGCCCUACGCCACCAUCUAGAGGGAAUAGAGGUUCGACAACCUCAUCAAGUUAUAUCUUCCUCCCACUCAAUUCUUUCGAGAGAAACUCCUUCUCAAGAAAAGCUCCAUUCUUAGCAACAAAUACUUUGCCCUCGGAUUUGAGAUAGAAGGUGUACCCAACUGUCUCCUUUGGGUAACCUAUGAAGACACACUUUUCUGCUUUGGGUUCCAGCUUUUUAGGCUGAAGCUUUUUGACAUAAGCAUCACAUCCCCAAACUUUAAGAAACGACAACUUCGGUCUUUUGCCAUACCACAGCUCGUAUGGUGUCAUCUCAACGGAUUUUGAUGUUGUCCUAUUUAAAGUGAAUGCAGCUGUCUCUAAUGCAUAACCCCAAAACAAUAAUGGCAAAUCGGUAAGAGACAUCAUAGACCGCACCAUUUCUAACAAAGUACGAUUACGACGUUCGGACACACCAUUACACUGUGGUGUUCCAGGUGGUGUCAACUGUGAAACAAUUCCACAUUGUCUUAAGUGAGCACCAAACUUGGAACUCAGAUAUUCACCCCCAUGAUCAGAAUGUAGGAACUUGAUCUUCUUGUUACGAUGAUUUUCCACUUCACUCUGAAAUUGCUUGAACUUCUCAAAUGUUUCAGACUUAUGCUUCAUCAAGUAGAUAUAUCCAUACCUACUCAAAUCGUCAGUGAAGGUGAGAAAAUAACGAUAUCCACCGCGCGCCUCCACACUCAUCGGACCGCACACAUCGGUAUGUAUGAUUUCCAACAAGUCACGUGCACGCUCCAUUGUUCGGGAGAACGAAGUCUUAGUCAUCUUGCCCAUGAGGCAUUGUUCGCACGUGUCAAGUGAUUCAAAAUCAUGUGACUCCAAAAGCCCAUCGGAAUGGAGUUUCUUCAUGCGCUUUACACCAAUAUGACCUAAGCGGCAGUGCCACAAAAACAUGGCGCUAUCAUUGUUAACUCUAUAUCUUUUGGUCUCAGUGUCAUGUAUAUGUGUAUCAUUGCUAUCAAGAUUCAAUAUGAACAAUCCUCUCACAUUGGGUGCAUGACCAUAAAAGAUAUUACUCAUAGAAAUAGAACAACCAUUAUUCUCUGAAUUAAACGAGUAACCGUCUCGCAAUAAACAAGAUCCAGAUAUAAUGUUCAUGAUUAACGCAGGCACUAAAUAACAAUUAUUUAAGUUCAUAACUAAUCCUGAUGGUAACUGAAGUGAGACUAUGCCGACGGCGAUUGUAUCAAUCUUGGAACCAUUUCCCACGUGCAUCGUCACAUCAUCCUUCGCCAGCCUUCGUUUAUUCCGCAGUUCCUGCUUCGAGAUGCAAAUAUGAGCAACAGAACCGGUAUCAAAUACCCAGGCACUACUACGAGAGUUGGUUAAGUACACACCAAUAACAUGUAUAUCAAAUAUACCUGAUUUUUCCUUGGCCAUCUAAUUAUCAGCCAAAUACUUGGGGCAGUUGUGCUUCUAGUGACCCAUUCCCUUGCAAUAAUAACACUCUGUUUCAGGCUUAGGUCCAGCCUUCGAUUUCUUCGUCGGAUGGGCAACAGGCUUGCUGCUCUUCUUGGAGUUACCCUUCUUGCCUUUGUCGUUUCUCUUGAAACCAGUGGUCUUAUUGACCAUCAACACUUGAUGCUCUUUCCAGAGUUCUGACUCUACGACUUUCAGCAUCGUGAAUAACUCGCCGGGCGACUUGUUCAUCCCUUGCAUAUUAUAGUUCAACACAAAGCUCUUAUAGCUAGGUGGUAGUGAUUGAAGAAUUCUGUCAGUGAUAGCCUCUUGCGGGAGUUCAAUCCCCAGCUCAGCUAGAAGGUUUGAGUACCGAGACAUUUUGAGCACAUGUUCACUGGCACACGAAUUCUCCUCCAUUUUGCAAGCAUAGAAUUUAUCGGAGGUCUCAUACCUCUCGAUCCGGGCGUUCUUCUGAAAGAUAAACUUCAAGUCCUGGAACAUCUCAUAUGCUCCAUGACGCUCAAAGCGACGUUGAAGUCCCGGUUCCAAGCCAUACAAAAUUGCACAUUGAACUACUAAGUAGUCCUCCUUACGUGUUAACCAGGUGUUCGAAACAUCUUGGCUAGACGUAGCGGGUGGUUCAUCUCCUAGCGCAACAUAAAGGACAUAAUCCUUCUUCCCAGCUUGCAGGAGCAGCUUUAGAUUAUGAGCCCAGUCUACACAGUUGCUUCCAUCAUCUUUCAACUUAGCUUUCUCUAGGAACAUAUUAAAAUUCAGGGUUGCUACUGCGUGAGCCAUUGAUCUACAACACAAAUAUUGCAAAGUGGACUAGACUAUGUUUAAGAUAAUUAGAGUUUAACUAAUCAAAUUACUCAUAUACUCCCACUCAAAAAGUACAUCUCUCUAGUCAUUUGAGUGGUACAUGAUCCAAAUUCACUAAUGAAAGGACGUGGAUGUCGCCUAGAGGGGGGGUGAAUAGGCGCUUUAAAAUAAUUAAGGUUUAGGCUUGAACAAAUGCAGAAUAAAACUAACAUUUAAUAGGUCAAGCACAAAACCUAUAAACAACUAGGCUCACCUAUGUGCACCAACAACUUAUGCUAAGCAAGAUAAACAACUAAGUGAUAGCAAGAUAUAUUACAAUAAACAAUAUGUCUAUCACAAAGUAAAGUGCAUAAGUAAAGGGUUCGGGUAAGAGAUAACCGAGGCACGGGGAGACGAUGAUGUAUCCCGAAGUUCACACCCUUGCGGAUGCUAAUCUCCGUUAGAGCGGUGUGGAGGCACAAUGCUCCCCAAGAUGCCACUAAGGCCACCGUAAUCUCCUCACGCCCUCGCACAAUGCAAGAUGCCGUGAUUCCACUAAGGGAACCUUGAGGGCGGUCACCGAACCCGUACAAAUGGAAAACCUUGGGGCGAUCACCGGACCCGUACAUGUGGCAACCCUUGGGGGCGGUUACCGGUACCCGUACAAAUUGCUCGGGGCUAUCUCCACAACCUAAUUGGAGGCCCCGACGCUUGCCCGAAGCUUCACACCACAAUGAUUGAGCUCCGAGACACCACCAAGCUUCUUAACUUCUCACUUCCACGUAUCACCGUGGAGAACUCAAACCGAUGCAACUAAUGCAAUGGCAAGAACACACGAAGUGGUCAAGUCCCUCACACUCAAAUCCCUCCACAACAACAAAAGCUAUGGAGAAAUAUGAGAGGAAGAACAAGGAGCUCACAAAGAAAUCCAAGAUCUAGAUCCAAGGGGUUCCCCUCACAUAGAGGAGAAAGUGAUUGGUGGAUAUGUGGAUCUAGAUCUCCUCUCUCUUUUCCCUCAAGAACAAGCAAGAAUCAUUGGAGGGAUUGAGAGUUAGCAAGCUCUAAGAAUGUCAACAAUGGAGGUAGAACAAGAGCUCAACGGAGAGAUGAGGCCAAGGGGGAAGAAGACCCCCUUUAUAUAGUGGGGGAAGGAAUCAGACCGUUACCCCCACUUACAGCCCGAGCCCAGCGGUACUACUGCUGGCUCCAGCGGUACUACCGCUGACCCUCCGGCGGUACUACCGCUGGCUGCAGCGGUACUACCACUGACCCUCCCGCAGUACUACCGCUCGCUGCAGCGGUACUACCGCUGAGCCCAUGGUAGCGCAAAGAUACUACCGGGCCAACCACCGACAAGAAAGUCUUCGCAAAAAUGUCCGACGCAGUACAACCGCAAAGAUGACGGUACUAAAAACUUGGAGCGGUACUACCGCUGGGACAGCGGUACUACCGCCAGCUCUAGCGGUACUACCGCCGGCUCUCGCGGUACUACCGCUAGGUCCAGCGGUACUACCCCUCGCCACUGAAACAGCCAUAACUUUCGCAUACGAGCUCCGAAUCGAGCAAACCAAGCUUGUUGGAAAUCUUAAGACCAUGCAGAUAUGAAAAUGCCAAUGAUAUAGAGAUGUGAGUCCUCUAUGAAUGAAGAACAAGCAAAAACUCCAACAUCGAAAACAUCAUAGUAGAUGCAUAUGGACUCCGUUUUCGAUGAACUCGAGCUUGUCACGAAGAUGACCAUAAGCUCUAAAACUCACAAAGAGAAAGACCAAACAAGAACCAAGAAGUAUGAUGCAAGGAUGCAAAUGGUUUGAGCUCUCAACGAAUGAUACGAUCAAGCUACUCACUUGAGAGCCCCCCUUGAUAGUACAACAAUCUAUCCUAAACAAAAAACCUAUCAAGGGAAAACCUAUACCUUGCACCUCGUCCUCUUGAGCUAGAUGAUGACCACCUUUCUUGAUUGUGUUGGCUUGAUGAAGACUAGUUGAUUGCUCCCCCAUACUCACUAUGGGUCAGCCACUCUUCAGCAUAUCUUCACAAGCCCAUUGCCACCACAAUGGACGGCAAGCUUCAAGCAUGAUAUCUUCGUGUUGAUCCACUUGAACUUGCACAUCGCAAUCUUGAUGACGAUCACAACUUGACGUCAUACUUCAUGGGUUGUAUGAGAUCUUCCCUUUGACGCAAGCCCAUGGAAACACACCUAACCCCCACAUAGAACUCUCACGAAGACCAUGGGUUAGUACACAAACACGUAAUGGACAAUGCUUACCAUACCAUGGCAUCACUUGAUCCCUCUCGGUACAUCUUGUACGCUUUGUGUGUUGAUCAUCUUGAUUUACUCUUUGUCUGAGAUCUUGAUCAACCAUGUGUCUCUAUGACCAUACUUUGGAUAAUACCUUGAAUACCAUCUUGGUCAUCAUAUAAACUCCUUGAACCCAACAGAUGGACUUCAAGAAGUGCCUAUGGACAAAUCCUAUAAAUGUAACUUAAGGCAACCAUUAGUCCAUAGGAAUUUUCAUCAAUUACCAAAACCACAUAUGGAGAUAUAUGAUCUAACAACUAACUCAAGUCCGAUCGUCACGUUAGUUGAGAAUAGUUUCAGUGGUAAGCAUCUCUAUGCUAAUCAUAUCAACUAUACGAUUCAUGCUCGAUCUUUCGGUCUCAUGUGUUCCAAGGCCAUGUCUGCACAUGCUAGGCUCAUCAAGUUUAAACCGAGUGUUCCGCGUGUGCAACUGUUUUGCACCCGUUGUGUGUGAACGUUGAGUCUAUCACACCCGAUCAUAACAUGGUGUCUCGAAACGAUGAACUGUCACAAUGGUGCACUGUCGGGGAGAACACAAUUUCAUCUUGAAAUUUUAGUGAGAGAUCACCUUAUAAUGCUACCGUUGUUCUAAGCAAAAUAAGGUGCAUAAAAGGAUUAACAUCACAUGCAAUUCAUAAGUGACAUGACAUGGCCAUCAUCUUGUGCUUCUUGAUCUCCAUCACCAAAGCACCGGCAUGAUCUUCUUGUCACCGGAGCCACACCAUGAUCUCCAUCAUCAUGCAGCCAUCGAGGUUGUCGUGCUAUCUAUGCUAUUACUACUAAAGCUAUGACCUAGCAAUAUAGUAAACGCAUCUGCAAACACAAAAGUUAGUUUAAAGACAACCCUAUUGCUCCUGCCGAUUGUCAUAGCAUCGACGUGCAAGUCGAUAUUAACUAUUACAACAUGAUCAUCUCAUACAUCCAAUAUAUCACAUCACAUCAUUGACCAUAUCAUAUCACAAGCAUACCCUGCAAAAACAAGUUAGACGUCCUCUAAUUUGUUGUUGCAUGUUUUACGUGGCUACUAUGGGUAUCUAGUAUGAUCGCAUCUUACUUACGCAAAAAUCACAACGGAGAUGUGCAAAUUGCUAUUUAACCACUCUCUAAGGACCGCCUCGGUCAAAACCAAUUCAACUAAAGUUGAAGAAACAGGCACCCGCCAGUCAUCUAUGCAACGAUUUGCAUGUUAGUCGAUGAAACCAUUCUCUCGUAAGCGUACGAGUAAUGUCGGCUCGGGCCGCUUCAAUCCAACAAUACCGCCGAAUCGAGAAAAGACUAAAGAGGGCAGAAAAUCGAACAUCAACGCCCACAAAACCUUUUGUGUUCUACUCGAGAUAACAUCUACACAUGAACCUACCUCAUGAUGCCACUGUUGGGGAACGUUGCAUGAGAAACAAAACAAAAAAUCCUACGCACACAAAGACCUAUCAUGGUGAUGUCCAUCUACGAGAGGAUAUUAGAUCUAUGUACCCUUGUAGAUCGCUAUCGAGAAGCAUUAAGAAACGCGGUUGAUGUAGUGGUACAGCUUCGUGAUUCAAAUCACCGUCGUCCCAUGAUCCGUCGCACAAUCCGUUCUGAUCUACCACCGAACGGACGACACCUCCGCGUUCAGCACACGUACAGCUUGAUGACGAUCUCGGACUUCUUGAUCCAGCAAGAGACACGGGGAAGUAGAUCAGUUCUUCGGGAGCGUGACGGCGCUCCGGUGGUGGUGAUGAUCUACUCCUGCAGGGCUCUGCCCGAGCUCCGCAGAAAUCCGAUCUAGAGGUAAAACUACAUGGUAUAGGUUUGAGUUGCACGUGGCAAAGUUGUGUCUCAAAAGCCCUAAAACCACCAGUAUAUAUAGGAGGAGGGGAGGGGCUAGCCUUGGGGCUCAAGGAGCCCCUUGGUGCGCCGGCCAAAGGGAGGAGGUGGACUCCCACCCCAAUUCGGUUUGGGGGAAGGAGUCCACUCCUGCCUUCCCACCUCCCUCUUUCCUUUGGUGUUUUCCACUUGUGGCGCCAUGGCCCUCUUGGGAUGGCCUUACCAGCCCACUAAGGGCUGGUGCGCCACCCUAGGGUCAGUGGGCUCACUCCCGGGGGGGUGGGCCCCUCCCGGUGAAUACCCAGAACCCAUUCGUCACUCCCGGUACACUGCCGGUAAUGCCCGAAACUUUCCGCAGACCAAAUGAAACCAUCCUAUAUAUCAAUCUUCGUUUCCGGACCAUUCCGGAAACCGUCCUGACGUUUGUGAUCUCAUCCGGGACUCCGAACAACAUUCGGUAACCACACAUAUAACUCAACUAUACUAAAACAUCAUCGAACCUUAAGUAUGCAGACCCUGUCCAUUAAUGCAAAUCCAAAUCUCGCCCGAUACGGUCGUCUCCCUCCUCUCGUCACUUUCCCUCUGUGCACACACCUUCCAUGGUAGGGGAAACCAAAUCCCCACCUUUCCCGAUCUCCCUCUCCCUUCCUUCCCCGCACCUCCCUCGCCCCCUAUAAAUACCGGAGCAUCCAGCACACCCCAUUCCCCUCGCCACCGCCCAGAUUCACCGCCUCCACACCCCCUUGCAGAGCUUGCCGGAGCAGAGCUACGGGAGCUCGCCGCGGCGCCCUGCCGCACCUCCCCUCGCCUCCUGCCGCCGGCAGGAGCACCCCCACCCCGGCCGCACCCCAUUUCCCCCCUCAAACCCGAGCUCCAGCACCUCCAUGCCCCAUGCCGACGUCAACUCCUGCCGGCCAACCUCCCAGCCACGGUGAGGUCUGCAUCAUCUCUUUUUCUUCUUUUUUUCAUCGUUAGAUCUAGAUCGUAGGGUGUAGAUUAGAAAGGGACUUACCCCUUCGGUUUUUUAAAAGAACCGUCCGGCCUGUUAAGUUAUUUAUUUCACCGAAACGUUCUUCUUACAUAUCGGCCAUUUUCUAGAUUAGCUCUAGCAGCGCACGGUUUCAGCCAAUCAGAGCAUGCCACGUCACCGUUUUCUUUUCUAUUUUAAAUCUGUAACACAAAUAGUUAUGUUUUUUGUUUUUUUUAAAUAACUUUUAAUCUACAAAUCCAAUUAAGGUAAUUCUUUUUUCAUUAGAUCAGAAAUUUUAUGUAGUUUCCGAAAAUAUAACAUUUGACUAUGUUUGAGUUUAUACAAUUUGAGUUAGAACAGAUUUUGUUUCAAUAUUAUUUUGUGAAUACAGGGAGUUUAAAAAUAGAUUUUUAAUUGAUUCUUUUUUCUACUGAUCACUACUGAUCUUAUUUACCAGUAGGUUUAAUUCCAGAAUUUUUAAGAUAUUUUAUCUUGUGGUUUUCACCAAAAAAGAUUCUGAUUUGGUUAUGGAAGACAAAUUUUCACCUUGUGCUAUAGCUAUUCCUUUAUUAGAUGCUUUAUUUUGAUUACUUAUCAUUGUGGUGCUUAUUGUGUGAAUUUGUUUGUGUCGAUAGAUCACCCGGAGUGCGAAGCUUGUUAUCUAGAAGCGUUCGAGUUCGAUAGUCGUCAGCAAGGCUAGUCACGUUGAUCAUAUUUCCUAUGUUUUAUAUGCAUUGUAGAUCAACCUUUCUUCACCUAUUGCAUGCUAAGUAGGAACUCGAAAAAUUGGUUCUUGAUGUAGUAUCAUGUGGUAGGCACCCAUCACCCUUGUUACUUGGCCCGGGACGAUAUAUGUUAUUUUGCUAUGCUUAAGUAGACGGGGUUUUGGUUGAGAGUCUAUCACGAGUGUUGUGAGAAAAUUUUAAUAAUCCAGACCGGAUAUGUCAAGACUUUCAAGACCUCGUGAUACAAUAUACCUCUGGGUGAAGGACGGUUUUGAUGGGCCCCUUGGGAUAAACCAGCGGAGGACCCGGGAUGCAUGGAGAAGCGCCAUGACAUCUUGUGGAAAGCUUCACCCAGGCACGAAGAGAUGGAUGGAUGCUUCAAGACCCAAGGCUUACCUGCACAGCCACAAGUCACUAUGGGCUUUGGCUUGGUUGGACGAUGCAGCGACUCUGGACGGGCGAUGCUACGAGAUGUAGAAGAACGGUAGGAUUGGAUGGGCACCGAUACAGGCUCAGAGGAACCCGUUGAAAGACCAUGUUUUGAUCAUCCGGCCCUAAAACACCCUGUAGUGCGAGGACAUUCAACGAAGGCGAUCAAAUCUUGUGGGGAACGUGUGCAAAACUCUGUAGAGUACCCAAACCUAAUCGAUUAGCCGUGUCCACGGACAUGGACGACUUGAGCAGAAGGAACUGAAACUAUCUGGAAUUCUCAACACAAUUAAUAAUGAUGUGGGUAUUAUUGACAACUUGGGUAUGAGAAUUGGUUGGUGGAACCAUCUCGUUAACAACCAACAAUAUAGUAAUAUUUUGCUUUUAGCCCUCUCUUGUUGUAGAAGAAAACCUUGCUUUCCGCUAUAAACUUACAAGCCCCACCUGCCAUUUAUGCAUGUAGAACAGGUGAUACUUUUCACCUCUCUCUUUUGUGACUUGCCGGCGUAUUCAAUAUGCUGACCUACACGGCUGCAACGUGUCAUGUUGCGGAGUACUUUUCCGACCAGGAGUGAGGUCACGGUCUACGCUCGGUGAUAUGCCCUGGAGUCAUAUGGACCCUACUACUUUUGAAGCUUCCGCUAGUCUUCGUUAGUUAUCUCAUGAGUUUGUCCUUCAGCCUCUUUAUUGUAAUAUUUAUUGUAAUAAAGUACUCGAUAUGAGAUCUGAUUCAUAAAGUUGUGUGAUUGAACUCUCGAUAUAUACAUUGAUGUAUUGUGUGUGUACCAGCAUGAUCUUGGGAUGGUACAGAAACACCAGAGACUUGGCCGUUUCAGGCCGGGUCGCUACAGAUAUGGUAUCAGAGCACACGCUCAAUGUAGGACGUAACCUCUAGGAUUGGAAAAGCCUUAGGAAGAAAACUAUUUUAUUAUAUCUUUAAAUCUUCUAUAUUUUCUCUUCUGCUCAUUUCUGACUUCUCUCCUAUCUUCCAAUAUUUUCUAGAUGGCCACCUUCAUCCCCGUUAAGAUCACGGAGUUUUGCCAGCCCGACGCCUCAAUGCCUUUCGGAAAGUAGCUGAUCCAGAUCACCAAGUACUUAAGGAUUGCUUUGUCGACCAUCACCAGGAAGCCUACCUCGUCUUACCCGGAAGAUACACUCUACAAUAUUGAGGUGCACAUCCCCGGAAGAACUUUUGAGCCGCGCACAGAACCUGUGGAGUUCAAGUUCAUCACACCCAGCUGGAUUCUCGGCAGGGACAUAGCGGUUCACUGUGCACUCGGAAGAAUCAAGGAGGAGUACAGAGGUUGUCCCAUCUCACCGGACUUGUUCACGGUCUCUCGGAGAGGAGCUGAUGGAGAAAUCAUUCUGACCAAGACUGACGACGCUCUCCUAUCCUAUGCUCAAACCAUGGAGGCAUAAAUCAGAACUCUGGAGAUUCGUGUUGGCAAUGACACGAAGAGGAUCAAGCAACUGUCGCUCCACGAACUCGACCUCGAAGAAGAAGCCCGAGAAGCCCACUAUGAGCAUGAAUUGGAGGUGAAGGACUUCUUGGAGAGGAUCGAGAAGCUGAAGGCUCGCGUUGCAUAUCUGGAGGAAGAAUUGGACAUGGGCGAGAACCUUCACCCUGAAGGAGAUGUAGCCCCCUUGAUCAGCAAUGAGGAGGACUACGAAGCAAGCUCUACCAACGGACCCACCACCAUGCUUUUCUGAGGAGGACACAUAGACAAGUCCACCAAUUUAUCUUAUCGUUAAACGUUUAGACCAAUGUUUAGGAUAUCACCACUUGUAUCCCCGUGAUUGAACCUUUUGUGGUGAUAAUGAAUAAAUGUGUGGUGUGAUAAUUGUUUUGUUGCAUUUAAUAUGGGUAGUGUAAUUACUCUUUAGACCCUUGUUCUAUGAUAAUCCCAUCCCUCUAGAAACACGAGAUGCCUCCGAGACGUGACCCUGCUUCCAACUUCCCGCCGGAACUUGCUCAGUUGAUCCAACAACAGAACACCAUGAAGCAGUUCCUCAUUCAGAAUCAGAACAACAACAACCACCAUCAUCCACCCAGGCCGACAAUCUCACCCGCUUUCUGAGGUUGAACCCUCCGACUUUCUCCAGCAGCGUUGAGCCCAUUGUGGCAGAUGAUUGGCUCCGCAAGAUGGAGAGAGAACUAAUCACUCCUGGAUGUACUGAAGCUGAGAAGGUACGCUUUGCCGCGCACCAACUUGAAGGACCCGCAGCUGCUUGGUGGGAGAACUACACCACCACAUACCCCAUUGUUGGAGUGACUUGGGAGCAGUUCAAGCAAGCCUUCCGCACCGCUCAUGUCUCAGCUGGAGCCAUGAGUCUGAAGAAGCAUGAGUUUCGCAACUUACGCCAGGGAACUCACUCUCUGGGUCAGUAUGUUGAUGAAUUCAGCAUGCUUGCCCGAUAUGCGCCUGGAGAUGUGGCCGAUGAUGCGGCCAAGCAGGAGAAGUUCAUGUAAGGACUCAACGAUGAGUUGAGCAUUCAGCUGACUGUGGCCAACUUCAACAACUACCAGGAGCUGGUAGAUAAGGCCCUCAUCUUGGAGGGGAAACAACAGCAGAUGGAGAACCGCAAACUGAAGUAUGGACAUGGGAAGUUUAAUUCUGACGUUCAGCACAAGCCUCGUUACACCCCCUAUCCAGGGAACACCGGAGCAGGAGUCGGUAAGUUUGGAGGACACGUCCAGCAUAACCAUCGAGUGCACAAUCAUGGAGGCCACAACCAUGGAGAAAAUGGGAACAACCGCAAUGGCGGAAAUUUCAAGAAUGGUAAUGGAGGUAAUGGCACUCAGCACCAUCCCGCUCCAUCUCAGAAGGAUCUGAACCAUAUCACCUGCUUCAAGUGCCAGAAGACGGGACACUAUGCCACUGAAUGUCCCCAGAACAAGCAGGGAAAUGGAAACGACAAUGGCAACCUAGCAGCAAGGAAGCCCAAUCCUUUUCCCCGAGCUCAGGUGAACCACAUUGAUGUUGAAGAGGUCUAUGAUCACCCGGAUACAGUGGUUGGUAAGUUUUUGCUAAAUUCACGUCGAGUAUUGGUACUUUUUCAUUCUGGUGCAACACAUUCAUUCAUAUCAAGGGUAGUUGUGGAAAAGUAUAGUUUACCAACUAGAACCCUGAGCCAGCCCACUAAGGUCAGUUCCCCAGGAGGCAUGAUGACAGCCGGGAUAGGAUUCCAUGCAUUGAGUCUCAACAUUGGGAACCAUAAGUUUCCCACCGACCUCAUCGUAUUAGAGUCUCAGGGAUUAGAUGUAAUCCUAGGCAUGGAUUGGUUGGCCAAGUAUGAAGGAAAUAUUGAUUGUGCCCUUAAGUCUAUUUUGCUCACCACCCCCGAGAAUAAACGGAUUAAGUACGUAUCCCAACGCCCGUCAAGGAGUAAACGAUUAAAUUCUCUCACGGGAGUAGUUCAGGGGGAAGUGUCGGUUGUACAAGACUUCCCAGAUGUAUUUCCGGAGGAAUUGUCGGGCAUGCCACCGGAUAGGGAGAUUCAGUUCCUGAUUGAGCUUUUACUCGGAAGAGCCCCAAUAUCCAAGAGACCCUAUCGGAUGCCCGCAAGUGAUUUAGUGGAAAUCAAGAAGCAAAUUAAGGAGUUGAUGGACAAGGGGUAUAUUCGCCCGAGUUCUUCACCUUGGGGAGCCCCAGUUCUCUUGAUUUAAAAGAAGGACAAAUCCUUGAGAAUGGUAGUCGAUUAUCGUGCAUUGAACGAGGCGGCCAUCAAGAACAAGUAUCCCUUGCUGAUGAACAAUGAUUUGUUUGACCAGUUAGUUGGAGCCCGAGUGUUCUCCAAGAUCAAUCUUCGAUCCGGGUAUCAUCAGCUAAAAAUUCGUGAACAAGAUAUACCCAAGACAGCCUUGACCACAAGGUAUGGUCUGUAUGAGUACACACUCAUGUCAUUUGGUUUGACUAAUGCUCCGGCAUAUUUUAUGAGUAUGAUGAACAAGGUAUUUAUGGAAUACUUGGACAAGUUUGUCGUGGUGUUCAUCGAUGACAUACUGAUAUUCUCCAAGAACGAGGAAGAACACAAGGAACACUUGUGUCUAGUUUUGGAGAAACUUUGAGAGCAUCGGUUGUAUGCGAAGUUCAGCAAAUGUGAAUUUUGGUUGAAGGAAGUCGGAUUCCUCGGACAUAUUAUUUCGGGAGACGGAAUAGCAGUGGAUCCUACCAAGGUUGCAGCAGUCAUCGAAUGGGUAGCACCCAUUUCAGUUAAGGAGAUCCACAGUUUCCUCGGACUUGCCGGAUAUUAACGGAGGUUUAUCGAAAAAAAUUCAAAGAUUGCCAAGCCCAUGACAGAGUUGUUGAAGAAGGAGUCCAAGUAUAGUUGGAGCAAGGAAAGUGAAUCCAGUUUCCAAGAGUUGAAGAAACGUUCGGUUACAGCCCCAGUGCUGAUAUUGCCUAACAUUUGGAAGGAUUUCCAGCUUUAUUGUGACGCUUAUCGUCAAGGACUCGGAGGAGUACUCAUGCAAGAAGGAAAAGUUGUAGCCUAUGCAUCCAGACAGAUCAGAACUCGUGAGUUGAAUUAUGCCACGCAUGAUUUGGAGCUCGCAGCCAUAGUGCACGCACUCAAGACCUGGAGACAUUUCCUUAUUGGAAAUAGUUGUGAUAUUUACACUGAUCACAAGAUCUUGAAAUAUAUCUUCACGCAGAAGGAGUUGAACCUCAGACAGAGAAGAUGGCUAGAGUUGAUCAAGGACUAUGACAUGAGAUUGCAUUAUCAUCCAGGAAAGGCAAAUGUUGUAGCAGAUGCUUUGAGCCGUAAGAGUUAUGUGAGCACACUCAUAGCGGGAGGAUUAACCCAAGAGUUAGCCGAUGAUCUCAGAGAACUCAAGUUGGAGAUAGUCCUAAGAGGAUAUGUGACCACGCUAGAAAUUCAGUCCACCUUGACCGGAAAAAUCCAUGAAGCUCAGAAGUCAGACAAGGAAAUAGCUGAGAUUAAGCAAAGAAUGAAUGAUGGAAAGGCUAAAGGUUUUCGUGAGGAUGAACACGGAACUAUAUGGUUUGAGGACAACAUCUAUGUGCCCAAUGAUCCUGAACUCAGGAAGUUGAUACUUCAGGAGGCCCAUGAUUCCCCGUACUCGAUACAUCCAGGCAACACCAAGAUGUAUCUGGACUUAAAGGGAAGUUUCUGGUGGACAGGAAUGAAGAAGGACAUUGCCGAGUUUGUAGCAAUAUGCGAUGUUUGUCAACGAGUAAAGGCCGAGCAUCAGAAGCCAGCAGGAUUACUUCAACCUUUGCCGAUACCCGAGUGGAAAUGGGAGAAGCUUGGUGUGGACUUCAUCACAGGAUUACCUAAGACCCGUUCAGGUUAUGAUUCUAUCUCGGUAGUGGUGGAUCAUUUGACCAAGGUAGCUCACUUCAUUCCCGUGAAGACUACCUACAAGAGUGCUAAGCUGGCCAAGAUCUAUAUGACCAGGAACAUAUGUCUGCAUGGAGUUCCAAGGAGUAUCGUGUCAGAUAGAGGAACCCAGUUCACGUCAAAGUUUUGGCACCAACUUCACGAAACCUUGGGAACGAGGUUGGAGUUAAGUACAACUUUUCACCCACAGACCGAUGGAUAGACCGAGAGAGUCAAUCAGAUUCUGGAGGACAUGUUGAGAGCUUGUGCACUAGACUAUGGGUCUAGCUGGGACGACAAUUUGCCUUAUGUCGAGUUCUCAUACAACAACAGCUAUCAGACCAGUCUGAAGAUGGCCCCUUUCUAAGCUUUAUACAGAAGGAGGUGUCGAACACCAUUGAUGUGGGAUGGUGUUGGUGACCGAAUACUUUUUGGUCCCGACCUCAUCCGAGAUUCCGAAGAGAAGGUCAAGCUGAUCCGUGACCGACUCAAGAUAACUCAGUCCAGACAGAAGAGUUAUGCUGAUAGCAAACGCAAGGAAGUAACAUACGAAGUGGGAGACCGAGCAUAUCUUCGUGUGUCCCCACUUCGAGGAAUCAAGAGAUUUGGUGUAAAAGGAAAGUUAGCACCCCGAUUCAUUGCCCCCUACAAAAUUCUUGAACGUAGAGGUGAAGUUGCUUACAAGUUGGAAUUGCCAGAAGGAUUGCCCGGAGUUCAUGAUGUUUUCCAUGUUUCCCAGUUGAAGAAAUGCCAUGCUGAUAUGACUGAUAUUCCAUUGAGAGAUACAGUGCCCCUAGAGGCCAUAUAGCUUGACAGUGAUCUGACUUACGAGGAGAAACCCGUCCAGAUUCUCGAGACUGCCAACAGAGUUACCCGCAACAAGGUUAUCAAGUUUUGUAAGGUCUUGUGGAGUCAUCACACCGAGGAAGAAGCCACGUGGGAACGAGAAGAAGAUCUUCGUCGAGACCACCUCCACCUAUUUUCUAGCCAACCCGAAUCUCGAGGGCGAGAUUCAUCUUAAGGUGGGUAGGUUUGUAACAUCCCAAAUUUCCUAUUUGGAAUGUUUAACAACUGUAGCUAAGCAAUGCAUUUUGAUUGUAAUAAAGGUGGCAUUUAAAUUUCCUUCGAUUUUUGCUUCGCAUUUUAUUUUUCUUCACUCACGGAAUGUCGGGAAUAUUAUCUUGCCAAGCAAGAAAGAGUGGAAAAACAUGACCCUCCAAACCGGGGGUAUUUAUUUGAAAUAUUUGAACCAUAAAACCCAAGGUUUAUUUGAAAAAUGUUUGCAAAAAGAAAAUAAACCAAUUUAGGGAUUUUCUGUAAAAAACAUUUUUUCUAAAGUAUUUAUUUUGGCCGUGGAAAAAUGUCCAUCUUAUUGGAUUUAUUUUUCUAAUAAUUUUAAUAUAUAAUACCCCUAUAUUCCGAGUAUAUAUUAUUUCCUUUUAAUCGUUUUAUUUCCUGUUUCCAAAAAACAGGAAUAAAAUCUCUUUUAGUAAGAAAUUUUCACCGCCCCAUUAAUGCAAAUCCGAAUCUGGCCCGAUACGGUCGUCUCCGUCCUCUCGUCACUUUCCGUGUGUGCGCACACCUUCCAUGGCACGGGAAACCAAAUCCCCACAUUUCCCGGUCUCCCUCUCCCUUCUUUCCCCGCGCCUCCCUCGCCCCCUAUAAAUACCAGAGCAUCCACUACAUGCCAUUCCCCUCGCCACCGCCCUGAUUCGCCGCCUCCACGCCCCCUGCAGAGCUCGCCGGAGCAGAGCUACAGGAGCUCGUCGCGGCGCCCUACCGCGCCUCCCCUUGCCUACUGCCGCCGCCAGGAGCACCCCCACCCCGGCCGCACCCCAUUUCCCCCUCAAACCCGAGCUCCACCACUUCCACGCCCCACGCCGACGUCAACUCCGGCCGGCCAACCUCCCAGCCACGGUGAGGUCUGCCUCAUCUCUUUUUCUUCUUUUUGUUUUUUUUUUCACCGUUAGAUCUAGGUCGUAGGAUGUAGAUUAGAAAGGGACUUACCCCUUCGAUUCUUUAAAAAGAACCGGCCGGCCUGUUAAGUUAUUUAUUUAACCAAAACCUUUUUCUUACAUAUUGGCCAUUUGCUAGAUUAGCUCUAGCAGCGCACGGUUUCAGCCAAUCAGAGCAUGCCACGACACCGUUUUCUUUUCUAUUUUAAAUCUGUAACACAAAUAGUUUUGUUUUAGUUUUCUUAAUAAAUUUUAAUCUACAUAUCCAAUUAAGGUGAUUAUUUUUGAAUUAGAUCACAAAUUUUAUGUAGUUUCCGAAAAUAUAAAAUUUGACUGUGUUUGAAUUUAUAAAAUUUGAGUUAGAACAGAUUUGGUUUAAAUAUUAUUUUGUGAAUACCGGGAGUUUAAAAAUAGUUUUUUAAUUGAUUCUUUUUGCUACUGAUCACUAGUGAUCUUAUUUAUCGGUAGGUUUAAUUCCAGAAUUUUUAAGAUAUUUUAUCUUGGGGUUUUCACCAAAACAGAUUCUGAUUUGGUUAUGGAAGACAAUUUUUCACCUUGUGCUAUAGCUAUUCCUUUAUUAGAUGCUUUAUUUUGAUUACUUGUCAUUGUGGUUCUUCUUGUGUGAAUUUGUUUGUGUCGAUGGACCACUCGGAGUGUGAAUCUUGCUAUCUAGAAGCAUUCGAGUUCGACAGUCGUCAGCAAGGCAGUCAUGUUGAUCAUAUUUCCUAUGUUUUAUAUGCAUUGUAGAUAAACCUUUCUUCACCUAUUGCAUGCUAAGUAGGAACUCAAAAAAUUGGUUCUUCAUGUAGUAUCAUGUGGUAGGCACCCAUCACCCUUGUUACUUGGCCUGGGACGAUACAUGUUAUUUUGUUAUGCUUAAGUAGACGGGGUUUUGGUUGAGAGUCUAUCACGAGUGUUGUGAGAAAAAUUUAAUAAUCAAGACCGGUUAUGUCAAGACUUUUCGAGACCUCGUGAUGCAAUGCAACUCUGGGUGAAGGAGGUUUAGAUGGGCUCCCUGAGGAAACCAGUGGAUGACCCGGGAUGCAUGGAGAAGCGCCAUGACAUCUUGGGGAAAGCUUCACCCAGGCACGAAGGGAUGGAUGGAUGCUUCAAGACCCAAGGCUUACCUGCACAGCCACAAGUCAUUAUGGGCUCUGGCUUGGUUGGACAACGCGGCGACUCUAGACGGGCGGUGCUACGAGAUGAAGAAGAACGGUAGGAUUGGUUGGGCACCGACAGAGGCUCAGAGGAACCCGUUGAAAGACCAUGUUUUGAUCAUCCGGUCCUGAAACACCCUGUAGUGCGAGGACAUUCAACGGAGGUGCAAAACUCUGCAGAGUACCCAAACCUAAUCGAUUAGCCGUGUCCACGGACAUGGACGACUUGAGUCGAAGGAACUUAAACUAUCUGGAAUUCUCAACACAAUUAAUAAUGAUGUGGGUAUUAUUGACAACUUGGGUAUGAGAAUUGGUUGGUGGAACAAUCUCUUUAACAACCAACAAUAUAGUAAUAUUUUGCUUUUAGCCCUCUCUUGUUGUAGGAGAAAACCUUGCUUUCCGCUAUUAACUUACAAGCCCCACCUGCCAUUUAUGCAUGUAGAAUAGAUGAUACUUUUCACCUCUCUCUUUUGUGACUUGCCGGCAUAUUCAGUAUGCUGACCUACACAGCUGCAACGUGUCAUGUUGCAGAGUACUUUUCCGACCAGGAGUGAGGUCACUGUCUACGUUCGGUGAUAUGCCCUGGAGUCAGAUGGACCCUACUACUUUUGAAGCUUCUGCUAGUCUUCGUUAGUUAUCUCAUGAGUUUGGCCUUCAGCCUCUUUAUUGUAAUCUUUAUUGUAAUAAAGUACUCGAUAUGAGAUCCGAUUAAUAAAGCUGUGUGAUUUAACUCUCGAUAUAUACAUUGAUGUACUGUGUGUGUACCAGCAUUAUCUUGGGAUGGUACAGAAACACCAGAGACUUGGCCGUUUCAGGUCGCGUAGCUACAUUCGAGAAGUAUGUAGACAUGACCCGAGACACUCCUCGGUCAAUAUCCAAUAGCGGGACCUGGAUGCCCAUAUUGGAUCCUACAUAUUCUCCGAAGAUCUUAUCGGUUGAGCCUCAGUGCCAAGGAUUCAUAUAAUCCCGUAUGUCAUUCCCUUUGUCCUUCGGUAUGUUACUUGCCCGAGAUUCGAUCGUCGGUAUCCGUAUACCUAUUUCAAUCUCAUUACCGGCAAGUCUCUUUACUCGUUCUGUAAUACAAGAUCCCGUGACUUACACUUAUUCACAUUGCUUGCAAGGCUUAUUUGUGAUGUUAUAUUACCAAGUGGGCCCUGAGAUAUCUCUCCGUCACACGGAGUGACAAAUCCCAGUCUUGAUCCAUACUAACUCAACGGACACCUUCGGAGAUACCUGUAGAGUACCUUUAUAUUCACCCAGUUACGUUGCGACGUUUGAUACACACAAGGUAUUCCUCCGGUGUCAGUGAGUUAUAUGAUCUCAUGGUCAUAGGAAUAAAUACUUGGCACGCAGAAAACAAUAGCAACAAAAUAACACGAUCACAUGCUACGUUUAUAGUUUGGGUCUAGUCCAUCACAUGAUUCUCCUAAUGACGUGAUCCAGUUAUCAAGUGACAACACUUGUGUAUGGUCAGAAAACCUUGACCAUCCUUGAUCAAUUGGCUAACCAACUAGAGGCUUGCUAGGGACAUUGUUUUUUCUAUGUAUCCACACAUGUAUCUAUGUUUUCAUUCAAUACAAUUAUGGGAAACGUUUUCCGCCAGCGCUCUGGCCGAAACGUUCAUCCGGUCGCGUGACUAGCGUUGGAUCUACCAGAUCUCGCGUGCCCACCUGCGUCCUUCUCCUUUCCUCUCCCCCUUCCUCCUCCUCCUCCUUCUUCUUCUUCUUCCCUCCUCUCCCCCUUCCCCCCCUGCAACCUCACGCGUUGUCGGCGAGCGCUACGGCUUCUCCACUGGCAGCCGCUGCGCCUGACGGCGGUGACCGAAGGUGACCACGCGAGAUGCUGCUGCGGGGGCGACGGUUGAAACUUUUUUUAUAUACGGUUGAAGCUUUUUAUGUCAACGUUUGAAACUUUUUCCUCGUUGAAGUAUUUGGUUGAAGCUUUUUUUCUUAACGGUUGAAGCUUUUCUAUACACGGUUGAAACAAUUUUGAGGAGUGACCACGCGAGAUGCUGCAGCCAGAGCGGCGUUUGACUUUUUUUUUCAUAUAUGGUUGAAGAUUUUUCCGUCAACGUUUGCAACUUUCCCUCGUUGAAGUUUUUGGUUGAAGCUGUUUUUCUUAACGGUUGAAUCUUUUCUAUACACGGUUGAAACGUUUUUUUUUUCCAGCGUUUGCAACACAGGGGUGAGGUGUGAACGACGAGGUAAAGACCGACGGGCAUGAGCAGCGUCGAGUGCGCCGGCGAGCGGCGGGGGGCAGAGAAUGGUGGGCGAGCUGAGUCCCGGAGCGCUGGGCAGAGCAGUCUGGACGAGCUGAGUCGCGGAGCUGCAUCCAUGGUGCUUCGACGGGCGGUCGAGGCGGCGACCGGCGGCGACCGACGGUGAGGAAGACCAGCGGUGAGGAGGCGAGGCGAGGUGAGGCGGUCGGCGCAUGCUGGGGCGUCGGCGUGUGUGAAAAGGACGUGGAUGUCGCCUAGAGGGGGGGUGAAUAGGCGCUUUAAAAUAGUUAAGGUUUAGGCUUGAACAAAUGCGGAAUAAAACUAACGUUUAAUAUGUCAAGCACAAAACCUACAAACAACUAGGCUCACCUAUGUGCACCAACAACUUAUGCUAAGCAAGAUAAACAACUAAGUGAUAGCAAGAUAUAUUACAAUAAACAAUAUGUCUAUCACAAAGUAAAGUGCAUAAGUAAAGGGUUCGGGUAAGAGAUAACCGAGGCACGGGGAGACGAUGAUGUAUCCCGAAGUUCACACCCUUGCGGAUGCUAAUCUCCGUUAGAGCGGUGUGGAGGCACAAUGCUCCCCAAGAUGCCACUAAGGCCACAAUAAUCUCCUCACGCCCUCGCACAAUGCAAGAUGCCGUGAUUCCACUAAGGGACCCUUGAGGGCGGUCACCGAACCCGUACAAAUGGCAACCCUUGGGGGCGGUCACCGAACCCGUACACGUGGCAACCCUUGGGGGCGGUUACCGGUACCCGUACAAAUUGCUUGGGGCAAUCUCCACAACCUAAUUGGAGACCCCGACGCUUCCCGGAGCUUCACACCACAAUGAUUGAGCUCCGAGACACCACCAAGCUUCUAGGACGCCAAAGCAUCCACGAAGAACAAUAUCAAGGGUACUAAGUACCAAAGGUAGUAAGCUUCUCAACUUCUCACUUCCACGUAUCACCGUGGAGAACUCAAACCGAUGCAACUAAUGCAAUGGCAAGAACACACGAAGUGGUCAAGUCCCUCACACUCAAAUCCCUCCAUAACAAAAAAAGCUAUGGAGAAAUAUGAGAGGAAGAACAAGGAGCUCACAAAGAACUCCAAGAUCAAGAUCCAAGGGGUUCCCCUCACAUAGAGGAGAAAGUGAUUGGUGGAGAUGUGGAUCUAGAUCUCCUCUCUCUUUUCCCUCAAGAACAAGCAAGAAUCAUUGGAGGGAUAGAGAGUAAUCAAGCUCUAAGAAUGUCAACAAUGGAGGUAGAACAAGAGCUCAACAGAUGGAUAAGGACAAGGGGGAAGAAGACCCCCUUUAUAUAGUGGGGGAAGGAAUCAGACCGUUACCCCCACUCUCUGCCCGAGCUGCAGCGGUACUACCGCUGGCACUCCAGCGGUACUACCGCCAGCUAGCGGUACUACCGCUCGCCCCAGCGGUACUACCUGCCAAGAAAGUCUUCGCAAAAAGGUCCGUCCACGAACAACCGCUAGGCAGGCGGUACUAAGCUCCUAGAGCGGUACUACCGCUGACCAGGGGCGGUACUACCGCCAGCCAGUGGUACUACCGCUAGGGCCCGCGGUACUACCGCCAACUCUAGCGGUACUACCGCUAGGUCCAGCGGUACUACCGCUCGCCACUGAAACAGCCAUAACUUUUGCAUACGAGCUCCGAAUCGAGCAAACCCAAGCUUGUUGGAUUUAGGACGACAAGGGCUAUCCAAACAGCCAUAACUUUCGCAUAAUACCAUGCAGUUAUGAAAAUGCCAAAGAUAUAGAGACGUGAGUCCUCUAUGAACGAAGAACCAGCAAAAACUUCAACAUCGAAAACAUCAUAGUAGAUGCAUAUGGACUCUGUUUUCGAUGAACUCGAGCUUGUCACGAGGAUGACCAUAAGCUCUAAAACUCAGAAAGAGAAACACCAAACAAGAACCAAGAAGUAUGAUGCAAGGAUGCAAAUGGUUUGAGCUCUCAACGAAUGAUACGAUCAAGCUACUCACUUGAGAUCCCCCUUGAUAAUACAACAAUCUAUCCUAAACAGAAAACCUAUCAAGGGCAAACCUAUACCUUGCACCUCGUCCUCUUGAGCUAGAUGAUGAUGAUCUUGGCUUCCUCAAGAUGGACCACCUUUCUUGAUUGUGUUGGCUUGAUGAAGACUAGUUGAUUGCUCCCCCAUACUCACUAUGGGUGAGCCACUCUUCAGCAUAUCUUCACAAGUCCAUUGCCACCACAAUGGACGGCAAGCUUCAAGCAUGAUAUCUUCGUGUUGAUCCACUUGAACUUGCACAUCGCAAUCUUGAUGACUAUCACAACUUGACGUCAUACUUCAUGGGUUGUAUGAGAUCUUCCCUUUGACGCAAGCCCAUGGAAACACACCUAACCCCACAUAGAACUCUCACGAAGACCAUGGGUUAGUACACAAAUACGUAAUGGACAAUGCUUACCAUACCAUGGGAUCACUUGAUCCCUCUCGGUACAUCUUGUACGCUUUGUGUGUUGAUCAUCUUGAUUUACUCUUUGUCUGAGAUCUUGAUCAACCAUGUGUCUCUAUGACCAUUCUUUGGAUAAUGCCUUGAAUACCAUCUUGGUCAUCAUAUAAACUCCUUGAACCCAACAGAUGUACUUCAAGAAGUGCCUAUGGACAAAUCCUAUAAAUGUAACUUAAGGCAACCAUUAGUCCAUAGGAAUUGUCAUCAAUUACCAAAACCACAUAUGGAGAUAUAUGCUCUAACAGUGUGCGAGGCGGGCCUCUUUCCUUUUCCCGUGCGUGUGCUGGAGGUGGGAGAUGACAGGAUCCGACGGUUUGGGAGGGCCAGAUCUGACGGCUACAGGUCGACCGGCCCAACAGUCAGGCCGGCGCGCCGGCGCAGAGUACUUCCCUACAAUUAUAACAUGGAUAAUAAACGAUUAUCUUCAAACAGAAAAUAUAAUAAUAGCUAUUUUAUCAUUGCCUCUAGGGCAUAUUUCCAACAUCGUCAAUGAUGAUGCCUGCCUCGAUGAUCAUGUAGUGUAUUAGGCGUCGUCCAGGCAUACAUGUGGGGUGCCCUAACAUUACAAGAAGGAAUCUUACCCUUGAAGCAUGCGAAGCAACUCCGUUCGACGGACUUCAGUCACCGGAGCAUCACCACCACCACCAUCACCAUGCACUCCACCACCACCACCACCACCACGACGAGAAGCACCACAACCACCUCCACCACCACCACAACCAUCACCACGACCACCACAAGCUAUCCCACCACGAGAUCGAGGUUUCCCUUGCAUCCCCGACCCUCUGGAAUGCAUUUAAGGUGGAAAAUGGGGGAAGAGAUUGGCUCAAAUUCGGGUAUUUAAUCGACCCGUGUUCGUGUAGGUGAGAGAAAAAAAUGAGGAGGAAGGAAGGAAGAAGAAAAGAGUAGAAAGAAGGAGAGGUCUCAGGCUAUGUGCCCACUAGUCGGCUUCAGCGUGGUUGAAAGGCGAGUCAACUUAGGCGUGGCCGACUGCUAGCCUCACCCGCCACGUGGCCAAGGGGUCCCUAAUCGGCUUAGACAUAGCCGAUAGGAUCUAAUCGGUUUCAGCAAAGCCGACUGAACCCAAUCGGCUACAGAAAACCUGAAGAUGUGCUAUUUUAAGAAAAAUCAAAUUCACGUAUUAUUUCUCGAAUUAAUUAAAAUAAUGUAUUAUUUAAAAAAAUAACGACAAUACACUUGGAGUACAAAGUCUUAGCUUUCAGGAUGAAACCCAAGGCUGGGUCUUAAUUGGUUGUGACUGGUAAUGAUUUUGUUGAAGACAUUGUUUUGAGAAUGCGGAUCGUCUUAAAAGUGAAAAACUAAGAUUUAAGAUCAGGCGAUGAUGGUGCUGGUGUAUUGUUUUCUUUCUGAAGGUGUCUUUUUGAAGAUUUGAACUUCGGCUGUGAUGGUUUGUGCUGUAGUUACAAGAAAUUGAUCAUUGUAGUAGGAUAUUAUUUUACCGUGUGCAUCUGCAAUCUCUUUAUGAUACUGUGUUGUUGCCGAGCCUAAAUGUAAUUGGUAGAGCGAUCAAUUUCGUAUCCAGCGGCCGAAAAGGAGAAAAGUUAGACUUGUUCAUGUGUGACUUCACCACAGCAAGUCAGAUAAUCUGGUUUGACUCUCCCUUGCCGGCGGCCGGCGCCGUGUUCCCGCAGCGGCGCAGUCUCAUGUCCAACUCCAACAUCUACGCCCCGUCGAGUCACGUGGCGUGCCCGCACGAGCACCUGCCCCCAUAUCCCUGGCCGCGCUCCGCGCUACCGCGGCGAUCGGGCGUCCACUGCCCAGUCGCGCACCUUUCCUCGCCGUACGAAUAUGGCCCCUGUUCCCGCUCCUAUCGCGCGCCUCCCCCUCCACCCUCGCCGUGUCCACGCCCCCCUCCCUCAUCCCCGACCGUCAGUACCGGCGGAGGCACGACACACCGCGCGCACGAGGGCGCCGGAGCCGGUCGAAGGAGUGGAUCCGGGGGGAAGUGAGACGGCGCGGGGUAGCACAUCACUCCGGAGCACGGGGCGACUGGCGCGGCGGGCGCCAUGUCUAAAAAGGCGCGGCAUGUGAACCACCCUAGUUGACAAUUUGUGCUUCGUUUGAUGCGUAUCCGAUUGCGGGAUUGACUCAUACGCUUCCAGGGCUCGGAUAAGGCGGGGUUCUUCACGGAGUACGGCGAAGCGACCCGGUAUGAGGUCGGCGAAGUGGUCGGCAAAGGCAGCUACGGCGUCGUCGCGGCUGCCGUCGACACCCACACCGGCGAGCGCGUCGCCAUAAAAAAGAUCGACGACGUCUUCGAGCAUGUCUCCGACGCCACCCGCAUUCUCCGCGAGGUCAAGCUGCUCCGCCUUCUGCGCCACCCAGACAUCGUCCAGAUCAAGCACAUCAUGCUCCCGCCGUCGCGCCGCGAGUUCCGUGACAUCUACAUUGUCUUCGAGCUCAUGGAGUCCGACCUCCACCAGGUCAUCAAGGCCAACGACGACCUCAGCCCGGAGCACCAUCAGUUCUUUUUCUACCAGCUGCUUCGCGGGAUGAAGUACAUACACGCUGCCAAUGUCUUCCACCGGGACCUCAAGCCCAAGAACAUUCUAGCCAAUGCCGAUUGCAAGCUCAAGAUUUGCGACUUCGGCCUUGCUCGGGUUUCCUUCAACGACACCCCGUCCGCGAUAUUCUGGACGGUAGGCACUUCGCUCUGAUGAAAGCUUAGCACAGAUUAUGUGUAUUAAUUAUGUAAGUUGCCAGCCAAAAUUUAGGCGUUUAUGCGCGUGGCCAUUGUCCCAGGAUUAUGUAGCAACAAGGUGGUAUCGUGCUCCAGAAUUAUGCGGCUCCUUCUUUUCAAAGGUAAGAUAAGCUUUAUCUCGACAAAAAAUGACCUUAACCAAAUUAGAGACCGUGAAUCCGUGAUAAUUCACCUCGUUGAUGCUGUCGAGUUUAUUCAUAAAUCUGAGUUUUUCUUCUACACUUGAUUGUUGACAGUUGACACCAUCUGGAUGCACAUGUUACCACAUUGGAUAAUUCCUGUUUCACUGUACUGAACUUAGUAUUUGCUUUUGCAGUACACUCCUGCAAUUGAUAUUUGGAGCAUAGGAUGUAUAUUUGCCGAAAUGCUUUCAGGGAGGCCUCUCUUUCCUGGUAAAAAUGUGGUACAUCAAUUGGAUCUCAUGACUGAUCUACUCGGCACUCCUUCGGCGGAAUCUAUUUCUAGGGUGAGUUCACUUCCCUGCUUCUAUAAAUAAAUCAGUUAGAGACUUAUCUCCUACGUGAGUUCUUGACUAUAAAGGGUUUCUCCCCUCUUUAUAUUACAGCACGGAACUAUCUAUCUAUCUAUAAGUUCAAAGUACUGAAUAUUCCUGCUAUAAUUAGACCUGCCGUUGAAUACAUACUGGUAAGACUAGUUCUUGCAUUAUGUCCGAAAAGUAAGGGACUGCCUAGAACACAAAGGCCUGAUUAUUUUCAUAGGGGCAGUCGAUUUUGUUGAACCACUGGAUUUAGAUCCAAUAGCUGGCUGUACUUCUGCAACCUCCAGACUCUGUCUUCUCUCUUUCAUCUUUAUCCCUGUCCUAAACCCUCUGCCAAGGUAUCAACGAGCAUCACGAAACCAACAACCCUGACCCCCUAACCACUUCGGCAAGGUCUCCUGCCUCGGCUACACAGCCGUCACCACUCCUGUGUCGCCGGUGGCUCUGCAUCAAAAUCCACCGGUGAGUGAAGUUGACAUGGCUGCAUUUCAAAGAACUACCCGACAGCAAAAGGAUAAAAUUCAUGCUUCGUUUAAUUUGUGUUUAUCAUAAGAAACUUCAGAGUGAUGUUUUGGUUGAAUAAUUCACUACCUGAACAGGCACUGGUCUUGAACAGUCCCACACUUCCAGUGAUCGUAUAUUUGCUUGAUUUGUAUACUUUGUAAUCCUUAAUUUCUGGAAAGGGCAUACAAGUAUCUGGUCCAUUGUGCUAAAAAAAAAUGAAACAUAAUUGAUCUAGCAAUGAUGCUUUACAAACAACUAAGCUUGCUCCAUCUAUGGCUGAGGGAGUUCUCUUUUGAAUAUUAUUCUUACAGAAAAUAACUAUGGUUGUAAACCUUUUUUUUUGGACGAGGCAUUCAGAGUGAUGUUUUGGUCAAAUAAGUCACUACCCGAACAGACAUGUUGUCUCAGACAAUCCCACAUUCCUAGUGACCAUAUAUUUGCUUGAUCUGUGUAGUUUGUAUUCCUUAAUCUCUGGAAAGGGCAAACACAAUAUCUGGUCCAUUGUGCUAAAAAAAUAUGGAUGAAAAUUGAUAUUUAACAAUGAUUCAUGACAAGCAGACAAGCUUGCUCCAUCUAAGGCUGGGGGAUUUAUCUUUUGGACAUUGUUCUUAUGAAAAUUACUGUAGCUCUUAACUUUUUUCUGGACCAAAGGCUUUCGCCCUCCUUUGUAGAUAAACUCACAAACGGCUAUGAGUACAACAGUUCCACAAAUAUUUAUGAUUCCAUGAAGAAGUUGCAGAUCACGCUUACAGCACAAACACUCGCGCAACAAACCACCUCAGCCACCUUCGAGAUAGCAAAAAAGGGCGACACAUGAAGUUUCCUCGAUGUCCUCCUUUGAUGAUGGCAUCACGAGGUGCAAACAAAAAUGAUCAUUUUGAACAAACAAAUAGAUGGACGUUUGGGUGUGUGGAGGAUCGUCGCCUAUGGCCUUUGGGUGCAACCAUUGGGAGAUGUUAGAACAGGAUACAUUCAAUCGAUUUUGGAUGGCUGUCGUAAUAGGUUAUGUGUCUGAGUCAUGUAAUUCAUUUAUUGGCCAGGCGACACCUGAAGUUUCCUCGAUGUCCUCCUUUGAUGAUGGCAACACGAGCUGCAAACAAAAAUGAUCAUUUUGAACAAACAGUUAGAUGAAUGUUUGGGUGUGUGGAGGAUCGGUGCCUAUGGUCAUUGGGUGCAACCAUCAGGAGAUGUAGAAUGGGAUACAUUCCAACCGAUUUUUUAUGGCGGUCUAGUAAUAGGUUACGUGUGUGAGUCAUUUUUCUGAAAAGGAGGAUAACCUCUGGCCUCUGCAUCGAGCGAUGCACACAGCCAUAUAUUAUUAAGAAUGCAAAAUCCAGCAGCCAAACAACAUCUACCCGGAAAUAAAGUGAAAAGAAAACCCGAGGCCGCAUGCCUCGCGAUAGUAACUCCACCAGAUAGGCACUAACCCUAUGAUACAAGACAAAAUCAAAACGAAAAAUACACAACUCCUAGGCGAUGCGUUCAAGAAGGAAUCGCUGCACGUGCGCCGAUGGUGACGGGUCCAACCCAAGGUUAAACUCCGGAUUCUCAUCCCCAAAGCCAAGCUUCAAUCUGUUAGGAAUAUGCGACUUCUGUUCCCAUGAGGCCAUAGGCCGAUAUAUAUACAUGUACAGGUGUGGACUAUAUGCAGAAAACCCCUUAUACAAUGGGAUAAAUACGAAGGGGUACAUGGCCAUAUUAUAUAUACUCUAACACAAUCCACCAUCUUCAACAAGGAUACUAUACAGGCAUGCGCCGACAUAGCCUGAUCACAGAUCUUGUGUUUCCACCGGAGUGCAUAGACUCGUCAUUGAAGCCAUUUGUACCAUAAUCCUUUAUCCGGCUACCAACUCCUUAAUAACCGAAUACCUCUAGAGAAGACACCGGAAGACAAAGACGUCCCAUACCGCCCGUCUCCCACCACUACCGCACCAUCUUCGAUCCAGUAGCAACAGGCUAAACAUGACAACUUUGCCAGAGCCACCGUGCCGCACCUGCCGGUAGCAGGCAUGGCUUCACGCUCCGCAUGAGACAUUAUGCGUAUCAUCUGCCGCCGGCGCCUUCGUCGGCUGCUUCACUUGCCAGCGACAAGCAUUGCUCGACGUCUCCGAAAGAGACACAUGUGUCACCUGCCGAGCCGCAUCGCACCCGAUCUGUUGAUAGAGGGACAUCCCAUACCGUCGCCAUCCUUAGAAAGGUCGUCACUGUCUCGAGA